AGCGAACGCUGGCGGCAGGCCUAACACAUGCAAGUCGAACGAACCUUUCGGGGUUAGUGGCGGACGGGUGAGUAACACGUGGGAACGUGCCUUUAGGUUCGGAAUAACUCAGGGAAACUUGUGCUAAUACCGAAUGUGCCCUUCGGGGGAAAGAUUUAUCGCCUUUAGAGCGGCCGGCGUCGGAUUAGCUAGUUGGUUGAGGUAAUGGCUCACCAAGGCGACGAUCAGUAGCUGGUCUGAGAGGAUGAUCAGCCACAUUGGGACUGAGACACGGCCCAAACUCCUACGGGAGGCAGCAGUGGGGAAUCGUGCGCAAUGGGCGAAAGCCUGACGCAGCCAGGCCGCGUGAAUGAUGAAGGUCUUAGGAUUGUAAAAUUCUUUCACCGGGGACGAUAAUGACGGUACCCGGAGAAGAAGCCCCGGCUAACUUCGUG
rnacentral:rRNA from 1 species